CAGUGCUGCAGGUCUCUCACCAGCCUUCCCCAGACAGAGAUGUGGUUCUGCUCCUGUAAUGCUGGUCCCAGAUGUGGAUUCAAAGCCAAUUCAGCUGCUCCUCUCUGAGUCAGACAAAAGUACUGGGAGGAAAAUUUCCAGGACCAACACUGUAUGUCUGUCCCUCUCCCACUGCUGCCCAUCCCUUCCCAGCUCUUGGGAGACUGAGCGGAGCUGAGUGGAGCUGGAAGGAACCAAACCCAGAGGAGCACAGCAGUCUCAGUGUGAAUAAUCUGUUUUUUUGGGGGGGAUUUAGUCAUUGUUUUUACUGUCUUGGGCUCAGGGAAGGGGAGCUCCAGCUGCAGAGAUCAUUCACCAUCUUGUCUUUGUCUCAGGAAUAACCGCGUGUCCUUGCAGAGCUGCAGGAUUAGCUGCUAUCUUGGUUUUUGUCUUGUCAGCCAUGUGGAACUGAGUCAAGGUGGUGAACACUUUUUUUGUCUAUAAAUCAACUUCUCUUUUGUUAUUAAUAUUGUUGCUGUUAUUAGGCAUUUCUUAUUCUGUUCCUGUUUGUUUUCAGUAAAUUGUUGUCUCAAACCAUGGUCUCUGCCUUUGUCCCUCUCUCACCAGACAGACUGCAGGAGAAGGGAAGCAGCUUCUUUUAAUUCCCAGCUGGUUUUAAACCACCUCAUGGUCCAAUUCUAGUAUUUACAACAAUCAGAUUUUCUAUUAAAAUGCUCUAGCAUUUUAAAGUGUUCUAACAGUACCGCUAAAGAUUAAGUUUCUUAGUUGACAUACAACUUUUAGCAAGUGCUGUCAACAAAGCCCUGUAAACCUCUCUAUUUCUUUGUGCAGGAAAAUCUGUGGACAGUUGAAAUUGUUGAGGCAUCUGAAGUUAGUUAAUUACAGAGGAAGUGUUAGGACUCAGUACUGUCCUAUAUCCUUCUGAUGGAUGCAUCAGAAAUUACCCAGCACUGCUGCAAGCAAGUGUUGAUAAAUUUCAUAUCUGUUGGGUGACAAAGCACUCUGUAUUUUCACCCUUAACUUCUAGCUGUGGUAUUUGGAGCAGUGAUGUCAGCAGAUCACACAUGUUAAAUAACCUUGCAAUUUCCUGGGCAUUGCCUCAUGGAGGACAGCUUCUGGGGAUUUUUUCACUAAAAUAUUUCCCAACUAUUUUCUCAGUAUCUCUGAGGAUUAUUUGCCUCAGUUCUUUUCAUGUGCAAUCCUGCUUUUGUUAUCUGCC
rnacentral:lncRNA from 1 species